UACGUAGGGGGCAAGCGUUAUCCGGAAUUAUUGGGCGUAAAGAGUACGUAGGUGGUCUUUUAAGCGCAGGGUUUAAGGCAAUGGCUUAACCAUUGUUCGCCCUGUGAACUGGAAGACUUGAGUGUAGGAGAGGAAAGUGGAAUUCCUAGUGUAGCGGUGAAAUGCGUAGAUAUUAGGAGGAACAUCAGUGGCGAAGGCGACUUUCUGGACUAUUACUGACACUGAGGUACGAAAGCGUGGGGAGCAAACAGGAUUAGAUACCCUGGUAGUCCACGCCGUAAACGAUGAGCACUAGGUGUCGGGGUCGCAAGACUUCGGUGCCGUAGUUAACGCAUUAAGUGCUCCGCCUGGGGAGUACGUUCGCAAGAAUGAA
rnacentral:rRNA from 1 species